GACGAACGCUGGCGGCGUGCUUAACACAUGCAAGUCGAACGGAAAGGCCCUGCUUGCAGGGUACUCGAGUGGCGAACGGGUGAGUAACACGUGGGUGAUCUGCCCUGCACUUCGGGAUAAGCCUGGGAAACUGUGUCUAAUACCGGAUAGGAGCCAUUUUUAGUGUGAUGGUUGGAAAGUUUUUUCGGUGUUGGAUGAGCUCGCGGCCUAUCAGCUUGUUGGUGGGGUAAUGGCCUACCAAGGCGGCGACGGGUAGCCGGCCUGAGGGGGUGGACGGCCACAUUGGGACUGAGAUACGGCCCAGACUCCUACGGGGGGCAGCAGGGGGGAAUAUUGCACAAUGGGCGCAAGCCUGAUGCAGCGACGCCGCGUGGGGGAUGACGGCCUUCGGGUUGUAAACCCCUUUCGCUAGGGACGAAGCUUUUUGUGACGGUACCUAGAUAAGAAGCACCGGCUAACUACGUG
rnacentral:rRNA from 1 species